ACUGAGACUUAAAAGUUUGGAAGCCUGGAAAGAAAAGGAGGGGCCUGAUAAAAUACAGGCAAGAAAGAGAAGAAAGGAAGUGAAAUAGAGAGGAAUACACUAAGAAGGACGCUCAAAGUGAUUGAGGCUGGAACUGUGAUGUUUCCAAUAAUUUUAAAUAUCUGACCUGAGACGAACUGGAUCUGAAUUUUUAGGCAUGCCAUGUCCUGCUAAUGAGCUUUCAGCUACAUCUGGUUUUCUGGGCAGGAAUCAAAGCCUGGAGAGUCUUAGACCUGGAGACCAGAGCUGCAGGCAGACUUGGCAAGCUCCUGACAUCCAUCUCAGCUCCAUGUUC